UGGGGAUGAAUGGGCCACAGCAGCAGCACACGAAAAGGAGCUCCAUGAAGCUUUCUAAAAAUGUUUAGAAGAUCUGCCUUACACUUCUCCGUGGGGAAAGAGAUAUUAUGGGUCGUGGUCCAUCAUUAUUAGGGGAGCCUGAAACAUUGGAAAAUCGCUCCAGAUUCCUCAGCAAAGUUUAUCUCCGGGGCUCCUUGCCCUGUCAGGGGCAUCACCCAGGGCACUGUUACAAGGAACGAGCACAGCCGAGCAAAGCCAGCCUGCUCCAUCCAACGUGGAGACA